UACUGGUGUGAGUCUAAAACACAGUCCAGCAAUGCAGCCAACAUCACUAUACACAGAGGUGAUGUCGUCCUGGUGAGUCCUGUCCGUUCUGUGACUGAGGGACAUUCCGUCACUCUUGGCUGCAAGUUGAGGACA